UAAAAAUUUAAUUUUUAAGUAUUGAAGUAGUAUUAGUUAAGUUCUUGAAAUUUAAAAGAUUUGGCGGUAUUUUAGUCUAUUCAGAGGAACCUGUUUUGUAAUCGAUAAUCCACGAUGGAUCUUACUUAAACUUGUUUUUAUAGCUUAUAUGUCGUUGUUUAUAGAAUAUUUUUUAAGAAAAAUAAUUUUCUAAAAUUUUAAUUUAAAUUUAUAUCAGAUCAAGAUGUAGCUUAUGUUUAAGUUUAUAAUGGGUUACAGUUAUUUUAUUAAUGGAUAUGGAUUUGUAAUUAGUCUAUUAAAAUUGGAUUUGAUAGUAAAAUUAUAAAGAUUGAUAGUUUGAUUAUAGCUCUAAAAUAUG
rnacentral:rRNA from 1 species